AUGGCUGCUUCUCCUCCAGUGCAAGACACAAACACAUCCAGAGAGAGGGAACAAGAGGCCAGGGCCAGCACACUGAGGACAGGCCUCUGCCUGGGACCAUGGCCUGGCCCUUCAGGGUCUCCGACACUCACCAGGAUGAAAGCAGCCAUGGGGUGUGGGUGGAGACUUAGGGUCCUGGGUUCUCCAGUGCCGGUACCAGCAUGGAGACUUAGGGUCCUGGGUUCUCCAGUGCCGGUACCAGCAUGGCCCUGCAUCCUCUCCAAGGGUUCUCACCCCCAACUCCACACCCCUGGACCCCCUCAGCCAAGGCUUCAAACAGCGUUCUUCAUAGAAAUGGUCCAGGCAGCUAUAGACACUUCACUGACCUUGCUGAGGAUGGCCCACAGAAGUGCAAGUCCUGGGACGCGGGGUGGUUUCUUCCCACUUGAAAAGCUAGAAAUGUGGCCAGGGGUAUGGCGGCCCAUGGUCUGCAGGAGGCCGGGGUCAGCAGGAUCGUCGGGCCACAUAGAGCCUGGCUCUGAGUCCCACAGCUUUGUCGAGGAUGAGGCCCCGCCAUGAAAAAACUCCCCCAGCAGAGAACGGGAACAAACAUUCCUGGGGAGAAACCAGGUUUUGCAAGGGCCAGCCAGGCCUGGGCAGGUGGGGCAGGGAUACAGAGGCUACAGGGGUUGGGGCACUGUCUCCCUCUGUGGCUUCUGUCUCCCUCUAACUGUGCCCCUUCCCCCACUGUGGUUGUGGAAGCUCCCCAGGAGGGCCUGGCCUCGCUGACAGAUGCACCAGGGACCCCAGCAGCCCAGAUCCUGCAAGGCAACUUCCCACAACACAACACAGUCCCAGUUGCUGACUCUGGAGGUUUCAACGGGUGGGUGUGGGUGGCAGAACCUGCUGUCCCUCUUGGCACUGGGUCCGUGUAUAUGAGCCCCUCACCCAAAGUCACUGAGGGGCAGAGACCUGGGUGGGACCCCUUGGGGUGGGGAGGGAGAAAUGGUUCCAAGAGGGUGGGGGGUGUGGCCUGGCAGCUGGAGGUACUCUAGUGGCCGGGCACGGUGACUCUUGGGCAGGUGCCUGUCCAUGGGCAGUUUGCUCCACUGCCCACUGCUCCAAUUGUUCUAGGCCCUUCCCUUGGCACUGGGCCAGUGUGGAGCCGAGGCCAGCAUUGAUGUUCAAUCUGCCUAGACUAUAAUUUGAAGAUUUUGUUUUCUAAGAAUUUUUUAUUUAUUUAAGAAGGAGGGAGAGAAAGAGAGCGAGCGAGUGAGCAAGUGAGCGAGAGCACAAGGAUGAAGCUGGAAACCAGAGUGGAGCCUGGAUGGAAACCCCAGGUCUCAUCCUGGUGCUCUCACUGCUGGGCCCAAAGAUUGCCCAAGCAGUUUACACACACUGCAUCAUGGGUCUAAUUAAAUGCAUCAUGGGUCUACUCAUGUGUAUGAAAAUAGGGAAGUAGAGUUUAGAAUACCUUGGCAACUGAAACAUCAUACUGUCCUUAGCUAAGAUCUUAGAUAACAUAAAAGAUUUGGGCAAGGUUCAUCUGCCAGUGUCCUUGUCCCACUGUGGUAUGUUC
ensembl:lncRNA